GUCAAAACUGUGGCGAUUCAAAGAUGUGCGUAGGACAACAUCUCACUUGGAGUUCUGUUCCAGAUUCUCCUGACCGACUCGGUUCCCUCUCGUACCUCGCCGGACAGAAGACCGAUGACGUCCCCAUCCGACUGCAUCCAUCAGGGAGCAGCAAACAACUCUUAUCCGACAUCGUACCUCAUGGAGGUUUGAAAGCCUUUGACUUCUGGGUCCGUGUUCUGUGGAUUAAUGUGAUUAUAGAUACUAAAGCUGCAGGAUAACGAGACCAUUUAAACAUAUUUUCUAAUCAGCUCCUUAGUGUACAGAUAGGAUGGAGUCGUGCUGAUGUACCAGAUGGCUAAUGGAGGUAUAUUAGAGCUCUGACAUAUUGACAUUAAUAUUGGCACGAAAACCUACCACUUAAAAGUGAUCAGAAUAAUCAGAUCAUACUCAUUUUCAAUUUAUUUUUGUUGAAGCUGAUCUUAAAUGAUUCAAUCUAAUUCUAUCCAAUUCAGAAAAGUCCCAUAAUGUGAUAAUAUCUCUGUAAUGCCCUCGUUACUGACUAACCUACAGAACAAACACCAUCUUCCUGACUUCCCGUGGGCGGUACCAGGGUGUCCUCACCGUCAUGGCGAUCCCGUCUUCACUGCGAUAAACACACACACACACACACAUACAUGGAUCCUGGACUACCUGCUCAAGCAAAAUCGUCAAAUUGUGCUUUGAGAGGUACAGGCCUCUCAUUUACUAUAACUAUUAUUAUUUGACCUGCAUUUGAGUAGACAUUUAUACAGUUUGUGACAGUACAGUAAGGAAAAUAUUGAAUCUUGUUGACUAAUGUCAGUGAAAGUCUGGAAGUGUUGGUGGUUCGGUUCAAUUCGUUUUAUUUUGUAUAGCACAAAAUCGAAAAUUACGAAUUUGCCUCAGAGGGCUUUACAGAAGAAACCCUCACAUCGACACAGGAAGAACUCCCCAGAAAAUGAAAAUGGGGAUAAAAAGGGACUAACUGGUCCGGACUAACCUGGGCCAGGCCUAACUAUAAGCAAAAUCAAAGAGGAAAGUUUAAAGCUUUAUCGUAACAGAGCUGACCGAAUCUGCCUCCCGGACUGAAAGUGGAAGCUGGUUCCACAAAAGAGGAGCUUGAUAACCGAAGACUUGUCAGAAGACCAGUAGCUAAUAGGAGUGUAACGGCGUUUAAAAGGUAUUUGAACCCCAUUCCUAUCAGCCUCAGCUGUACUUUGUGUUUGGUUCUAAAGUAAAAUGGUGAACGUAACACGUCUGUGGUGAACAUGUUAAUGAUUAUACCUGGUAUGCAUCUGCAUGUUAACAUUGUUGCCGCAGAGAGAACCACCAGUACCACAUCCAUCUGGACCUCUCUCCAUUCCAUACCCAGCUUCCAUCACGACAUGGUCCAUGUAAGGCCAACGCAAAAGCCCCACAUAACUUUACUCCAUCAGUUGGAUACAAUGAGUCCCCCCCCCCCCCUCCUGUACGUUAUCCACGUGAGCCCCGGUGUUCUGGGUUCUCUUAUUUCCACUCUGGUUGGUUCUUGUUGAGUGCCGCUAGUGGUCACGUUCGCCAUUGUCCCGUCGUUAAGACGAAGCCGAUUGGAUGAAUUGUGUGUCACAAUUGUAUCUUUAAUCAGCGAUUGGCCAAACCGUUUCAUGGACCCGCCCCCUGUGGUGCAUUUCUCUCUGGCUCAGAGCUGCUGAUGGACGCGCAGAUAUAAUAUUCUACUAAUAUUACUGAAUGGAUUCCAUAUUUGCAUUUGUAUUUAGAAUGAAUAAUUCAUAAUAAUAUUUAUUUUUGUGGCUCAAGGGCAGGCGUGUUACUGGGGGGGGGGGGGGCACAGGGUUUGACUGUAUUUUCAUUGGUCAUGCACCCAUCAGCCCCGUACAUCCUUUUUGAAUUAAAACCGUUGAAUGUGUAUCUCCUGGGGACCAAAUACUUAUUUUGAACAUCUGCAGCUGUGUAGAAUAUGUGAUGCGAGUGCAAAUAUAACUUCAUUAGUUUCUGUGAUAAGGAGACGGAGGUGUUAAUGGAAGACAGAUGACGGUCUCACAUCCUUUGAGACUUUCCUGUUUACUGCCUUCUAUUAUAUUACACCGAAUCAAUUAUCCAAAAGGCAGCCCGCUGUAAUAGGAAGCUGGGUGGGCCUUUUUAAACCGACUGGGCCGGCUGCUGAUAUCCAGACACCCACGCCGGGCAUUGAAAUCCUGUAAUUGAGACAUGCAACAUUGUGAUUGCAAACUGAUUGAAUAUAAUUAGCCAUGGCUUUUACUUUGUUUGCUUGCUUUCCUUAAUUAAAAGAAUUUUCUUUGCACUUCGUCAGAGUAGAUUGUGUGGGGAUGUUUUUUUUUGGGGGGGGUCAUUAGCCCGGUUAAGCUCACUGAGAUAAUUAAUCCUACAACUGUAUGAAAGUGUGCUUUGAUUGCAAAGUGGCCGGUCCGUUACGCCGCCUCGGUGACAACGCUGUGAAUGACUCCGCGUCAUCCAGCUUCCAUCCACCACUAACUAGAACAAGGCACAGGUGAGCUAGAUGCACUUCUGCCGUUGUUCUUCGCUCGCUGACGUCCUCCAUAAGCCGCAGUGACACCAGCUCCCCCCCCGGGGUUCAUGCUCCUCGCUGCAGAGCGCCUUCAGCCAGAAGCACAGCGCUGCUCCCCUCGUGACGCGUCUGCACAGGCUGCUGUGGAUUCGAAGUCCCUUCCCCUCUGCGGGUGUGAGGCCUCGUCCCUUGCCGAGCGGAGCCCGCUCCAUCCCCGACGAAGGCUCCGCUUUUAUCACCUGAUGGCGCCAGAGCCAAAUGAGGGGGUUCGGCCGUGUUCAGCCAUUUAUCAUCAUGCCAUCAGCGAGCAGCCACGGGGGCAGAAAGGACCUUGGCUGGCUUCGUCCUCCUUCCCCCCCCCGCGCAAUUUCUUCUUAAAGUCGAGCGGGUCUGGAGUCGCUGUGGUCUGCUGCGUUCACUGAAAACAAACAUGCACGCGGCGGCUUUGUUUGGCGCGGCAGAAACCAGCUCCGCCGCGUUCAAACACUCGCUUCAGGGUGGAAUAGAUGAUGAUGAUGAUGAUGAAUGUGGCAAAUCUGGUCAGAGGAGCGUUAAAUGGGCUGCUUAUUUAUUCUCCGCUGCAGACGUCCGUUCCAUUUGCCAGCUGCAGCGCGCAAGGCGCUCAGCUGAGAAGCGUCUGUGACUUCUAAUGAACUGAGACCUCUUGUAUACAGUUAUUACCGAGUGUCAUUCUACAAGCGACAGAAGACCCCUUGAGUGGAGCUAGUUGAAUAAAUGCAUAAACCCGCAGGGACCCAGCAGCUCGGCGCUGAAUGUGUGCACCAAAGCACCGAGAGGCUGAUAUGUUCAGCUUGAACAAAGCGAGCGUGGGAAGGAAACUCAAAAUGAUUUGCUUCAAAUUUGACUAAAAAUAGGGGUUGUGUACCGACCUCUGUGUUUGUGUUAACAAGCGGUUUGGCGUCGCUCUGCACGGCCGCCCGACCCCCCCCCACCACCCCCUCCCGGGGUAGCGGCUACUCUCUAACCAUGUGUUUGCUGCUGUCCUGCUGGCCCACGACUCCAUGGUCCAGGAGCUAGUUUCAUUCCACGUGGCAGGCCAGCGAUUAGCCGCGUCCGUCAGGAUUCCUGAUGCUGUAAUGUAAAACAUUACAGCCAUGCUAGCUGAACGGGGGAUUUGAUGCAAUAUACGAGAUUCAUGACACUCACAAGAGGUUUGCACACGCAGUCUGGAGCGAAGGUUCUUCUUAUACAAUAACCGCCAGCAGGUGAAGAUGUAUGAGAUGUUCCCUGUAGUCUCUGUCAUUACCGCUGCUGCUCUUAAAAUAGGAUUUGAAUUGUUUACUAUGGUGAGCGCCAUUAGCAGCAGCUUUACUUGAGUUGGCCUUGUUGCUUUUGUCCUGUCUGCAGAGUAGGAGAUGAAUUAUUAUUUAAGUAAUUGGUGUUUGUGUAAGAAAAUCUGAGGCAAAGUUCACGAGAAACACGUGUUCAUGUGCAUUUGUGAAUUCCGUUUUCCAACUGGGAAAUGCUUCUGAAACUUUUGAAUUUUCAUUCCUAAUCAUGUUUUGUUGCCGUUUUCUUUAUCUUCAUCCACCAAGCCUUCAUACUUGCCCUUUCACAAUCAUAAUAACAAAAAGCAGAGUUGUUCUCGCUCCUUUUCUAGUGCUGAACUUUCCUCUACCGGUCUCUGUGGGAGAAGAGUGAUGCAAGAGCCUGAUAUCAACAUCUGGGCCUCUGUGAAGACUCUGCUGCCAGAUAAGAUGCUCUCCGGUGUCCAGAGGAGGGCUGAACUCCGGGGGGGGGGCAAGAUACGCUGCACAGACCGAUAAAGAGCGUGGAUCAAUGGCCGUGUCUCAAUUGGCCGGCUGCAUCCUCAGGAGGACGUGGGCCGGCUCGUCCUCUGACGGCAUACGAUGUGUCCUGCCGGCGUCAUCGGCAAUGCAGAAAAUGCAGAUAGAGAAGGUCGUUUUCUUCUUAUUCCAUUUCCCUCAGUAAGAUGUGCUUCACCUCCAGAGCAAGAUGUAUUCCGAGGUCAUUUCAUAUUUGGAUCGGUUAAGCAAUUAACUUUUAGCUAAUAGUAAUAUUGCAGUCUUGAGGGAGAGGAAAUCAAUCCGUCAAUAAAAACACAGCAGCAAACACAUUCAUUAACUUGUAUGCAGAGACUUUUUUUCUUUUCUUGCACAGGAUAGAAGCUGAAUGUCACCACAUCUUCUCCUGCUCCAUAAACACAACUAAAUGUAAAGGUAGUUUACAAUCACACAACAAAAGGAGCGAAGCAACCAGGUUCAGUUUCUUUGUGUAUUUAUUGCCAACAUUUGUAUAAAUACCGACAUAGAAGGUUAUAUUUCAGCUUCGUGUCUUGUCUACUUGAGCUCACUUUGAUCCAUUUCUGUUGUAUCUCAUGUAUAAUUAAUUGAUGAUCAUGAGUAUGAGGAGGGAAUUGGGACCCAGGGGGCUUCAGGUCAGGGGCUGUAUGACAAAAUACCCAUCAAAUAAAUGUAUUACAAUAAAAUACAAAAUACUGUUGCCAGAAAAUGUAAAAAAUAAAAAUACAAUACAGAAUUUUUCUAUUUAAAAUAUUAGGAAAUUCUUUUUUUCUGAUUUUCCGAUUCAGGUUUGGGGGGCAAUGGAAUGUACACAAAGCUGAACAACUCGUGAACUGUUUUUUUUAUUCUAGCAUUUUAAAUACUGUGUUAAGGAAAUGAGACUCAUAUUGCUUUGCAGCAAACAACACCACCACUUGGUAACGCAGGUUGAACGUUUUGUUGCCACUAUAAAUGAAUGAAGCACCUCAGGCUCUUUGUGUGCUGGCAGCCGGAUGUGCUCGUACCUGUUGGUUCACGCGUUGACGGUUCAGCGAUAAAGGGUUUCACUCUUAAGGGGGAAACAAUCCAAUAGAAUGCUGCUGUUAUUCACACUAACUGCUGGUGAAAUAACGCCCUGUGUUUCACCGUCUGGGCCUUGCUGGUUCUCGUCUCCUGCAGGAGGCGUGCUGCGACACAGGCCUACUUGCCACAUUUUGCAGCGUCUCAUCAAUAAGGUCACAGAGCGGCACCGCAGACGCCGACUGAGGUCUCCGUCCUGGAGAGACGAGCUAAUCGCGGCCUCUGUGGGGAACAGCGGGGGAGGGGGGAGCGGUCCAUCUUCUAACACUAACAGGCACAUUUACACUCCUGCACGGCCAUGCACGCAGACAGCAGGUACACACCCCUCCACAGGAGCACGGAUAAACACGCCACCAUGUACAGCAGGAACAUAUGUGUCAUCCGCCUCCCCAGCGAUGUCACUCCCGUGUGGCUGCAUCUGGAGACACCAAUGGAGACAGUCUUAGUCAGUGGACGAGAGGGAGCUUCCACUGAAGGGUUGUGCUUAGCAAUAUACUUAUUAUAUAUACACUUUAUUUUUCGGUGAGCUCAGGUUCGUCGCUUGCUUUGCCCCCGAGUGUCUGCUCGAGUCUCUCACCUGCGACAAAAAACGUUACUCCACCUGUGGUUCUGGAGGUGAAUUGCUCUGCAACACCUGCAAGCCUUUUAGAACCAUGAAUUGAAACGAGUGGGUCGUGCGUAAAGACGCAGGCGCAGAAACACGCGGCAGCCUUGGGAGUUAUUAUGGCACGUUUCAUAGGUGGAGCUCAGCGAGAUGGAACCUUUGCCAGAAAGGUGAAAGGGCACAUUGUUGAGCCUCAAGUAAACAUUUGGAUUGGUUAUUUGCAACACACAACGUGGCGUUCUCAGGAUUUCUUGCAAAGGAUUGUUAUAAAUGUAAUUCAUGUCUGGCAGCGUAUCCGGAUGUUGGGCCUGCAGACGGUCCACUUGUGGAAGCGUUGAGACGCCGUUGCAUCAAGUGUUCAAACCUAUAAUUCAGCCUUUUGCUGGGUCGUGCCACACUAAUGGAGACGUCUGUGCUUACCCAGCUUAAGGGAUGCACAUACUUCCUUGUGAAUGAAUACAGAUCUACCCGCUCUACAGGACCAGCACUGCAUCCUCAUUUAUUUUUUUUCCGUCUCAAUCUCCAUUGGUUACCAUCAAAUGUCUUUGGCUGCUCCGACUGUAUCAUUCCUUUUGGUUCCGUGUGAUUUUCACUCCACUCUUCUCAGUGAUGGCUGAACCAUUGAGCCGUGCAGGAUGUUCCUUCGGUGUCUUUGUAUUCUUUUACUACAACCACAUCCCACACACAGCCAUCACGCCGCUGGACCAAAACCAUGUUUAUCCUUCAAGGAAAAUCCAUCGCACAAUUGUCUCAGUUGAGCGGUCGACAAAGCUCGUGUCCCAUGAAAACAUUCAUGUGAGGUCGAUUCCGGUUGAUGUUCAGGAUACACCGUAUUAGUGCGUGUAAAGUAAAUAAGAGGGCUGUAAUGGUACAAAGGCACAAAACAGACAUCCACUUUGUGAUCCAAUCAGCAGUAAAAACACUCCCAACCAUGAAGAGGCUGUUAAAACCAAACUCACAGAAAACAUAGUCUCUAAAAAGAAACCGCAGAAAGGACCGAUCAAUAAUAACGGAGGAGAAGCCACACAAACACACACACUUGAGAGAUUUAUUGGCUUCCUCUCUUCAAGUCACAUCACCGUCGUCAAUAAUCAAAAUGUAAUAUUGCACUGAGAGAGUUUUAUUAAGAGCAGAGGCCAAGGACACUCACACAAUGUUUAGGGAAUGAAACGGAGUCUGCCAUUGACUUAUUUAUGUCUGCCUCGGAUAUGCGGAGUGACUCAAUCUUUGAGCUUAUGAUUCAUGGAACAGAGUAUCGAUGAACUUAACUUGCAACAGCCCAUCUCAUAUUUCCUCAGUGACUCAGGAGGAAAUAACACAAAUUCAUUAGUCUUACCGUGUCUGGCUGGAGAGCCACUCUUAGUCAUUGCAAAUGUUACCUGCUUUCUGUAAUCAAUACUUAAUUACAGCAGCUUCAUCUGGUUUCUGCUGGAUUAUUGGUUGAGGAAAGGGGCUUGUUUGGGAGGCGAGAGCAGCCCAGCGGGCUUAUAGAGACAGGAACCUUUUGCAGUGAUCAGUAACCAUGCAUCAUUACUGUGCGGUCAAUGGUAACAAAGUGUUCUGGAUCACGCUUAACGACAUUAGGGGAGGGAAGGAGGGCGGCAGAUGCUUAGUUUGUGUUUUCCCAGGUGUCCCUGUUGACCCCGUUGGUUAUGGAGAUUCAAAAGGAAGCACUGUGGACGGCGAAGGUCGUGUAGAGUGUGAACACAUUAAAAGCCUCUUUCACUGGGCAUCUAGCACGUUACAGUUUGGAUUACCUGAGAUAUUCAAUUUGGGAACCUGUUGCGUUUGCACCCAUCACCCACUUGCAUCAGUGCCCAC
ensembl:lncRNA